rnacentral:rRNA from 1 species
GUCUAUGGCCAUGCUACCCUGAACAAGCCUGAUCCUGUCUGAUCUUGGAAGCUAAGCAGGGUCGGGCCUGGUUAAUACUUGGAUGGGAGACCACCUAAGAAGACCAGGUGCUGUAGGCA